GAGCCGGAGGGAAACCGAGUCUUAACCGGGCGUUAAGUUGCAGGGUAUAGACCCGAAACCCGGUGAUCUAGCCAUGGGCAGGUUGAAGGUUGGGUAACACUAACUGGAGGACCGAACCGACUAAUGUUGAAAAAUUAGCGGAUGACCUGUGGCUGGGGGUGAAAGGCCAAUCAAACCGGGAGAUAGCUGGUUCUCCCCGAAAGCUAUUUAGGUAGCGCCUCGUGAAUUCAUCUCCGGGGGUAGAGCACUGUUUCGGCUAGGGGGCCAUCCCGGCUUACCAACCCGAUGCAAACUGCGAAUACCGGAGAAUGUUAUCACGGGAGACACACGGCGGGUGCUAACGUCCGUCGUGAAGAGGGAAACAACCCAGACCGCCAGCUAAGGUCCCAAAGUCAUGGUUAAGUGGGAAACGAUGUGGGAAGGCCCAGACAGCCAGGAUGUUGGCUUAGAAGCAGCCAUCAUUUAAAGAAAGCGUAAUAGCUCACUGGUCGAGUCGGCCUGCGCGGAAGAUGUAACGGGGCUAAACCAUG
rnacentral:rRNA from 1 species